AGGACGAACGCUGGCGGCAUGCCUAACACAUGCAAGUCGAACGGGAUGGAGCCUUCGGGCUCCGGCGAGUGGCGAACGGGUGAGUAACACGUGGGUAACCUACCUUUCACUGGGGGACAACCGAGGGAAACUUCGGCUAAUACCGCAUGAUGUGCGGCUUCUCAAGGAGCCGUACCAAAACUCCGGUGGUGAAAGAUGGGCCCGCGGCGGAUUAGCUAGUUGGUGGGGUAAUGGCCUACCAAGGCAACGAUCCGUAGCUGGUCUGAGAGGACGAUCAGCCACACUGGGACUGAGACACGGCCCAGACUCCUACGGGAGGCAGCAGUGGGAAUCUGCGCAAGUGGGCGAAAGCCUGACGCAGCAAUGCCGCGUGAGGGAAGACGGUCUUAGGAUUGGUAAACCUCUUUCAGCAAGGGAAGAAACAGACGGUACCUGACAAGAAGAACGCCCCGGAUAACUACGUCGCCAGCAGCCGC
rnacentral:rRNA from 1 species